AAGGGAAAAAAAUCCUCAAGGUUUUUCAGGAAAAAAAAAGACAGGGUUAUGGCUGGUCACUUCUGCCGCCACCUGAGUUAUGAGAACAGCCUGCGGGCAUUCCACUGGGAAGGUGUUGCCCCGACUUGCUCAUUUAACCCAUUUAGGAAUCCAGUGGGGCUGGUUCUAUCACCCCCAUCUACAGAGGGGUAGAGGGGAGGGGACUCUCCCAAAGUCACAAAGGUCCGACAUUGAUGUGACAUUGACAUCGGCUCCACCCUGAGGAAUCUCUGUUUCCAAGUGCGGGAUAGGGGUCUUCCGCUACCUCAAAGACCAUCUGACUUGGUGUUUCCUUAGAGAACACUUCCCCGAAGUGUUCUGAAGUUGGUUGGAGAGGCCAUGGGGUCCUAGGGGGCAAAGGGAGAAGAGAGAAGGGGCAAGAACCUGGCAGGCCAGCUCCACCUUCAGCAGCUUCCUAUUUUUCUCUUAUACAGCGAUCCCACUUUCAUUUUACAGGUGGGUCCUCGGCUGCAACAAAACAAAAUAAACUGAGCUUGAAAACCUCUGAUUUGUGGCAAACCCUUAAAUGUAUGGAGCCGGCAACUGAAGCCUGGGCAGCUUCUAGCGAUGGUUCCACCGACCCAUAUUUCUUUCCCACCUGUUGCAUCAUCAGCAUAUACAGGAAUAAAAUAAAUAACCUCAAGGAAAUUGCCAGAAAACACACCCAAGCUCAAUUACCUACCCCUACAUAGAAGAACUCCUGAGGCAAAACUUUAAGCAUAUCAGUAACCACAGCCCCUGGACUGGAGCAGUGGGUUGAAAUGUCCCUGUACUGUCCCAUCUUGGGUGUAUUUCACGUGAGGCUACAAGAUUUCCAACCUUGGAAUCAACAACUUGCCUCAACACCCAGUCACAUCCAGAUCCCCCUUGGAAAUGCUUUUCAACCACAUUGGACAAAAUCUUUCGCACAAUUUCUUUGCAGGCGGCUCUGCCCCUGAGUCAGGACCUGCUCCCCCAAACGCAACAAGUUCAAAGACCUGGAGCUGCAGAAUCUACCCAUCUCCUGCCCACCGGGUAUCCGACGCACUCUCGUUUUUCUUUGCCUGUGUGAUGCUGAAACGGCAUUGCUGUAUUUUAAAUAUAACUCACAAAUUAAAAACCGAAAGAAGAAACACAUUUUUCUGUCAGUGGCUUAAGGGGAUUCCACCUCUAAGCUGCUGCUAAAGCUCCUUUAGUCUUUUUUACAUUUGUAGCAUUUUGGAGCAAUUUGCUAGAGUCAAAGAAAGCAGUGAAAUUUCCACAACCGACUUCAAAGGCCCCAAAUCCUGUAGCAGUGGAGGGGAGCCUGGUAGCAACACCAGAGGGGACGUUUUUCAAAGGGGUGCGUGGAGGGACCUGAGAGCAUCUCUACCCUGCCUCUGCGAUUGAUGUGAAUGGCGGACACGUGACCAGAUCCCCUGUAGUUCUUUGAAAAGACGCCCCUCCUGGCUUUCCCCCAACACUUGGACUGUGAAGCCGCAGAUGAGACAGCGAAGGGCCGACACAGAGAAACCGCUGCUCUGGCUCAAAGAACAAUACGGCCUUGAUGCUAUUAACACCUAUGAGUCUUUAUCUGGUGGGGAGUGUGGAGCUCAUUCAGACUGAUCAAGAGGCAGAUGGACAGCUGGGUGGUUUCACGGUUACCAAAGUAAACUCCAGCCUAGGCAGAAGUGGCUUCAGGGGACGCAAAAACACAAACUGUCAGGGGCCCCGCCACCUUAGUUCAUUCCUCUCUCUCGUCUUUUUUCUUCUGUUUCCAUGCCCCACGUGGCCUGGCCUUUCAACUUCUUCUCCAUCUGACCCCCAUUUGCGCAUCUCAGUCCAAUUCUUCCUUCCCCACCUCACACCCAUAAACACACUGUGUAUUCCAACUCUACCCAACCUGCUGUAUUGAACUAAAAUCCCCAACAAGAAAUGAGUCUAAAAGGGUGUUUGGUCUGUGAAUAUUCUGUACUAUAACAGGUUAUUAAAAUUAGCCCCCUAAGAGUAUGCCCAAUUUAGAGACUCACAACAGUGUAUGAGACUGCCCAUCACCCCACAUUUCAGCCAGAAGGAAAUACUAUUUUUAUUAUUGUUAUUAUUUGCUUAUGAGUGACGACAAAAAUUAUUUCAUAAGAUUUUUGGUUCUUUGUCCAUCCUUCUGUCCCUUUUCCUAUCAGGUUGUUUAGCACCUUUCUUACAGAUUUUUAAGAGCCCUUCCUAAUAAGGGAAUUAGGUCUUUGACUAUCUUGAGGUUUGUAAUUUUUCCCACUAUGUCAUUUGUCUUUGGAUCUGGUUUACGGCAUGUUCGCUAUGUGCAGUUUGCUUCUGUAGCCAAAUUCCUCAAUCCAUUUCUGGGCAGCACCUGGGUGGUGCAUCAGGCUAAGGAACAUUUUCCCCACCCCAUGUCCAAAAAACAAAACAAACAAACCAACAAACAAAAACCAGAAAAAACCUAAGUUCCUUUGGUUACCUUUGUAGCUUUCACUUUUGCUUAUGGUGUUCACAAAAUGACAAAAAUGACUACCCUCUUGUUCACCUCGCAAACCCCCGUCUUCUGGAGAGCGUUUGUCCACCAGGACUAGCAUUUACUUGUUUAACUGUCCAUCUGCAACUGUCAUACAUCUUGGGAGCACCCACUGUGUCCUGUUUGUUUCUGAAUCCUCUGGACUGAACCCAUAUUCUAGUAUUUACAGGGUAUACAACGAGCGCUCAUCAA